rnacentral:rRNA from 1 species
CGUCCCUGCCCUUUGUACACACCGCCCGUCGCUGCCCGGGACUGAGCCAUUUCGAGAAAUUUGGGGACCGUUAAUUAAACAUUUAUUUGUUUUUUUGAUGGAAACCAAUUUAAUCGCAGUGGCUUGAACCGGGCAAAAGUCGUAACAAGGUAGCUGUAGGUGAACCUGCUGCUGGAUCAUUA